AAUAAGUUAAAAAAAAUAUAAAACAAAUAUUUAUAUAUGUUUAGAAACCAAGAACAACAAAAACAAGUUAUAUUCGUAAACGUCAUAGCCGUUUAAAAAAAUGCAAGUUUAAAAUUAGAUGUUGAUCUUGAUGAUGGUGUCGAUGUCGAUGACGAUGAUGAUGCAAAAAAACCAAACCAAACGAUAAAAUCUCCUCCUAAUAUAUAUCAACAAAAGUAUAUCAAGAACUAUUUUUUCCCUCAGUAAAGAAAAUAAUGAACAAAUAAAUUAGUAAUAUAUUAAAAAUAAAUAAAUUAUAAAACAAAAAUCUUAUGAACAUUGAAGAAAUAAAUACUGGACUCACAAACACAUCGUACACUCACAACACAAAGAAGAUUGAAUGGAUUUACGCUAAAAGAAAAACUAUAAAACAAAAUUAAA
rnacentral:sRNA from 1 species